rnacentral:rRNA from 1 species
AAGCUCGUAGUUGAAUUUCGGGGUUAGUAGGUUGGUCAUGCCUCUGGUAUGUACUGGUCUCACUGAUUCCUCCUUCCUGAUGAACCGUAAUGCCAUUAAUUUGGUGUUGCGGGGAAUUUGGACUGUUACUUUGAAAAAAUUAGAGUGUUUAAAGCAAGCUAACGCUUGAAUACAUUAGCAUGGAAUAAUGAAAUAGGACGUUCGAUCCUAUUUUGUUGGUUUCUUAGGAUUGACGUAAUGAUUAAUAGGGAUAGUUGGG